GGAGGAAUAUUGGUCAAUGGGCGAGAGCCUGAACCAGCCAAGUAGCGUGCAGGACGACGGCCCUAUGGGUUGUAAACUGCUUUUAUACGGGAAUAAAGUGAUGCCUGCGGGCGUUAUUGCAUGUACCGUACGAAUAAGGACCGGCUAAUUCCGUACCAGCAGCCGCGGUAAUACGGAAGGUCCGGGCGUUAUCCGGAUUUAUUGGGUUUAAAGGGAGCGUAGGCCGUGCUUUAAGCGUGUUGUGAAAUGUAGCGCUCAACGCUGCACUGCAGCGCGAACU
rnacentral:rRNA from 1 species